rnacentral:rRNA from 1 species
UCUUUCCUCCCGAGUGCUUGCACUCAAUUGGAAAGAGGAGUGGCGGACGGGUGAGUAACACGUGGGUAACCUACCCAUCAGAGGGGGAUAACACUUGGAAACAGGUGCUAAUACCGCAUAACAGUUUAUGCCGCAUGGCAUAAGAGUGAAAGGCGCUUUCGGGUGUCGCUGAUGGAUGGACCCGCGGUGCAUUAGCUAGUUGGUGAGGUAACGGCUCACCAAGGCCACGAUGCAUAGCCGACCUGAGAGGGUGAUCGGCCACACUGGGACUGAGACACGGCCCAGACUCCUACGGGAGGCAGCAGUAGGGAAUCUUCGGCAAUGGACGAAAGUCUGACCGAGCAACGCCGCGUGAGUGAAGAAGGUUUUCGGAUCGUAAAACUCUGUUGUUAGAGAAGAACAAGGACGUUAGUAACUGAACGUCCCCUGACGGUAUCUAACCAGAAAGCCACGGCUAACUACGUGCCAGCAGCCGCGGUAAUACGUAGGUGGCAAGCGUUGUCCGGAUUUAUUGGGCGUAAAGCGAGCGCAGGCGGUUUCUUAAGUCUGAUGUGAAAGCCCCCGGCUCAACCGGGGAGGGUCAUUGGAAACUGGGAGACUUGAGUGCAGAAGAGGAGAGUGGAAUUCCAUGUGUAGCGGUGAAAUGCGUAGAUAUAUGGAGGAACACCAGUGGCGAAGGCGGCUCUCU